rnacentral:rRNA from 1 species
UACAGAGGGGGCAAGCGUUGUUCGGAAUUACUGGGCGUAAAGGGCGCGUAGGCGGCCUUCUAAGUCGAACGUGAAAUCCCCGGGCUCAACCCGGGAACUGCGUCCGAUACUGGAAGGCUUGAAUCCGGGAGAGGGAUGCGGAAUUCCAGGUGUAGCGGUGAAAUGCGUAGAGAUGUGGAGGAACACCGAUGGCGAAGGCAGCCUUCUGGGCCAACACUGACGCUCAUGCACGAAAGCGUGGGGAGCAAACAGG